rnacentral:lncRNA from 1 species
ACCGAAGCAGGAACCUGCCUUUGUGAAAUGGGGACAAUAAAAACAUUUCCCCCUUCACUGCCCCACCCUUGUCUCUCCACUUACGAGGCUGGCGGGAGCGCUCGUUAGCCUGUAAACUGCUUCUGGUCUUCCUUGGAGAGUGACAUCUGAUGGAGACUCAGGCCAGUGAAGGUGGAAAUAGCGUGAGGCUCAGUCUUGGAGAACGAGUGGUCCUGGGAUCGAUAUUUGUGCCUGAAUCCACGAGUCGAAUGAGGUUGUUCCAGGCCUGAAAGGGACGCACAAGACUUCUGUUAACAUCUCAGUGGCAAAAAUUCAUCUUUGGCUACAUCUGGGCAUAGGAGGCGCUGGAAAAAGGAAUGCAUGUUUGAGCAGCUGUCUUUUAUCAACAACUUCACACUGUGGAAGAGGAAACAUGAUUUUUGGUGGGCCGAUAGCCAUCUCUUUUGUAAAAGUAUCAUCAUCAUCAUCCCCAUUUUUGGAUGGGGAAACUGAGGCUCCAGUGCUGAAGUAACUCACCCAAGGUCUGUAGCUGUGCAUUGCUGCCACUGGCUUUGUAAAUGACCGUCGGUCAGUAAGGAGACCAGCCUGGCUGCCACUUUCUGACUGCAAACCUAAACUGCAUAAACAGGAGAAUAAAGAGCAGAGAAUGGACUCACAGCGGGACAAGGUGGGUUUGUCCUUUCUGUUGCACUUGGAGGGGGC